AACGCUAGCGGCAGGCUUAACACAUGCAAGGUCGAGGGGCAGUCACGGGUAGCAAUACCUGGUGGCGACCGGCGCAAGGGUGCGUAACGCGUGAGCAACAUGCCCUAUACAGGGGGAUAAUCCAGGGAAACUUGGUCUAAUAUCCCAUAGCAUUUAGAGGUGGCAUCACCAUUAAAUUAAAGCUUCGGUGGUAUAGGAUUGGCUCGCGUGACAUUAGCUAGAUGGUGGGGUAACGGCUCACCAUGGCUAUGAUGUCUAGGGGUUCUGAGAGGAAGACCCCCCACACUGGGACUGAGACACGGCCCAGACUCCUACGGGAGGCAGCAGUGAGGAAUAUUGGACAAUGGAUGGAAAUCUGAUCCAGCCAUGCCGCGUGCAGGAAGACGGCCCUAUGGGUUGUAAACUGCUUUUAUAUGGGAGCAAUAAGGUCUACGAGUAGACCGAUGAGAGUACCAUAUGAAUAAGCAUCGGCUAACUCCGUG
rnacentral:rRNA from 1 species